rnacentral:rRNA from 1 species
GAUGAACGCUGGCGGCGUGCCUAAUACAUGCAAGUCGAGCGAACAGAUGAGGAGCUUGCUCCUCUGACGUUAGCGGCGGACGGGUGAGUAACACGUGGAUAACCUACCUAUAAGACUGGGAUAACUUCGGGAAACCGGAGCUAAUACCGGAUAAUAUAUUGAACCGCAUGGUUCAAUAGUGAAAGACGGUUUUGCUGUCACUUAUAGAUGGAUCCGCGCCGCAUUAGCUAGUUGGUAAGGUAACGGCUUACCAAGGCAACGAUGCGUAGCCGACCUGAGAGGGUGAUCGGCCACACUGGAACUGAGACACGGUCCAGACUCCUACGGGAGGCAGCAGUAGGGAAUCUUCCGCAAGGGGCGAAAGCCUGACGGAGCAACGCCGCGUGAGUGAUGAAGGUCUUCGGAUCGUAAAACUCUGUUAUUAGGGAAAAACAAAUGUGUAAGUAACUAUGCACGUCUUGACGGUACCAAAUCAGAAAGCCACGGCUAACUACG